UAAGCUGCAGCAGUAAAUGGUAAAAGAGUUAUAGUCUCAUCUCCCGUCCUCAAGCCAUUUCUCUCUAAUUAAAACACCUGGUUCGUUCAGCUGUAACAUUCUGGGAGGGGGGCCUGAGGACUGGAGCUGAGAAACUACACUAACGGUUAUGAAAAAUGAACGCUGUGUAUCAUAGAAGUUGUUGAUAUAUUGUGUGUUUUUUUUUUUUUUUUUUUUUUUUCUCAAAAUGCUUUUCCAUUGUUUAUUCUGAAGUGACUGGAAUACUGGCUGAACUAGUGUCUGGAGGUCUGUUUCAUGAGACGCAGCUACCAGAGCGGAUUCCUCAAAGUGAAGAUGACAGAUGUGUGAUGGUUGGCUGUUUUGCUGUUGGAGGAGCAUCAGUUGAGGCAUAUAUUAGGAUGCUGGGCUGUACUCUAACCAUUGAGCCGGCUUCUCAGAUGAACUGGCCAGUAGGAGACCGAAAGAUCAGCAUGAACAACAACAACAAAAAACUCAUUUAGAGACACCAGGCUCCAAGAUGUGCAUGAUGCCUAUCAACAACAAGGGAGAGCCGAGAAAGAGGAGGCCUGCUGUGACGGUGCAAAAAUGGCUCGGUUGUGGUCCUGAACGGCUUGUGGGCAUUGCCUUGUGGUGGAAAGCCCUGAGUUCAUCAGACUAUCCGUUUAAUGAGGAGUAAAGACAUCUUUUUUGAAUCAGAAAAGUAGCUUCAAUCCAUGAAAGCUUCAAGUCCUAAACAGCAAACUGGUAAUGUUUCAGUCUGUAGUACUUUAGUGUUUCUGCCUUUGAUGGUGAGUUUUCAUUUGCAUUUACUUCCAUUUUGCAGAUGCAGUUUGCAUUUGUUAGCCUAUAUGUGUCAGUUUUACAGGCUCUUCUCCUGGCAUUUGCUUUAUAAAUUCAGAAUGAACUGUUCCAUGUAAUUAAGUCACUUUGUCAUUCAUUUGACCAUAUUCUGUAUGUAAAUUGUAUUUUAAGCUCUGUCUCCCAGUUUCACAAGGCUAGUCCCAGACUAAAAUGCAUGUUUGAGCAGUCUUAACUGAAAAUAACUUGCUCUGACAGAUCUUAAUGUCAUUGGCAUUGCCUGUCUCAAGAUGCACACCAGUAAUGUUUAUUUAUUGCAUAAAGCUGUUUAAGUAUCCUAAUUUAAGGCCUAGUUCUGGCUUAAGCCUUUUUUUUUUUUUUAAAGAAUCACAUGUUUUACUUGAAUAUAAUGUUAAUUUCCUGUUCAAAUAGUGCGGGGGCAAAAAUAAAUAUUUUUGCAUGUAAACUGACUGAUGUUGUUUAUUAUGAGUGACUUUUAUUUUAAAACCAUAUUAAUUGCAGUACUGCAUGUUCUCUGAUUUGAAAGGAGUAAAAAGCAGGAUUGAUUUGAUAAUGUUUCUAUGUUGAUUC